rnacentral:lncRNA from 1 species
UUUUUUUUUUUUUUUUCAUCGUAACCGAAAGUGUUCUAUGGUUUACCUUAACUAUUGCUUGGUUGACCGACUAUUCCUAAAGCAAGUGAUAAAAGGCUUGGUGGUUGGUACCCGAGACCCAAGUUCGAAUCCUAGUUGAUUCACAUUUCCAGCUAAAUUUAUUUCUAAAUGAAAUAAACGAAGUGGGUAACUGCUACCUAUAUCUCAAAAAAAA